rnacentral:rRNA from 1 species
AUUGAACGCUGGCGGCAGGCCUAACACAUGCAAGUCGAACGAGUGGCGGACGGGUGAGUAAUGUCUGGGAAACUGCCUGAUGGAGGGGGAUAACUACUGGAAACGGUAGCUAAUACCGCAUACCAUCAGAUGUACCCAGAUGGGAGUAGCUAGUUGGGGGGGUAACGGCUCACCAAGGAGACGAUCCCUAGCUGGUCUGAGAGGAUGACCAGCCACACUGGAACUGAGACACGGUCCACAAUCCUACGGGAGGCAGAAGUGGGGAAUAUUGCGCAAUGGGCGCAAGCCGGAUGCAGCAAUGCCGCGUGGAUGAAGAAGGCCUUCGGGUUGUAAAGUACUUUCAGCGGGGAGGCGUUACCCGCAGAAGAAGCACCGGCUAACUCCGUGCCAGCAGCCGCGGUAAUAC